rnacentral:rRNA from 1 species
UACAGAGGGGGCAAGCGUUGUUCGGAAUUACUGGGCGUAAAGGGCGCGUAGGCGGCCUUCUAAGUCGAACGUGAAAUCCCCGGGCUCAACCCGGGAACUGCGUCCGAUACUGGAAGGCUUGAAUCCGGGAGAGGGAUGUGGAAUUCCAGGUGUAGCGGUGAAAUGCGUAGAUAUCUGGAGGAACACCGGUGGCGAAGGCGGCAUUCUGGACUGGUACUGACGCUCAUGAGCGAAAGCGUGGGGAGCGAUCCGG